GGCAGAGUGCCAGAGUGGUUAAUGGGUGUGACUCGAAAUCACAUGGCUUCGGCCGCAUGAGUUCAAAUCUCAUCUCUGUCG